rnacentral:rRNA from 1 species
AACGAACGCUGGCGGCAUGCCUAACACGUGCAAGUCGAACGAGACCUUCGGGUCUAGUGGCGCACGGGUGCGUAACGCGUGGGAACCUGCCCUUAGGUUCGGAAUAACUCCCCGAAAGGGGUGCUAAUACCGGAUAAUGUCUUCGGACCAAAGAUUUAUCGCCUUUGGAUGGGCCCGCGUUGGAUUAGCUAGUUGGUAGGGUAAAAGCCUACCAAGGCGACGAUCCAUAGCUGGUCUGAGAGGAUGAUCAGCCACACUGGGACUGAGACACGGCCCAGACUCCUACGGGAGGCAGCAGUGGGGAAUAUCGGACAAUGGGCGAAAGCCUGAUCCAGCAAUGCCGCGUGAGUGAUGAAGGCCUUAGGGUUGUAAAGCUCUUUUACCCGGGAUGAUAAUGACAGUACCGGGAGAAUAAGCUCCGGCUAACUCCGUG